rnacentral:rRNA from 1 species
UAGAGUUUGAUCCUGGCUCAGGACGAACGCUGGCGGCGUGCCUAAUACAUGCAAGUCGAACGAACUCUGGUAUUGAUUGGUGCUUGCAUCAUGAUUUACAUUUGAGUGAGUGGCGAACUGGUGAGUAACACGUGGGAAACCUGCCCAGAAGCGGGGGAUAACACCUGGAAACAGAUGCUAAUACCGCAUAACAACUUGGACCGCAUGGUCCGAGCUUGAAAGAUGGCUUCGGCUAUCACUUUUGGAUGGUCCCGCGGCGUAUUAGCUAGAUGGUGGGGUAACGGCUCACCAUGGCAAUGAUACGUAGCCGACCUGAGAGGGUAAUCGGCCACAUUGGGACUGAGACACGGCCCAAACUCCUACGGGAGGCAGCAGUAGGGAAUCUUCCACAAUGGACGAAAGUCUGAUGGAGCAACGCCGCGUGAGUGAAGAAGGGUUUCGGCUCGUAAAACUCUGUUGUUAAAGAAGAACAUAUCUGAGAGUAACUGUUCAGGUAUUGACGGUAUUUAACCAGAAAGCCACGGCUAACUACGUGCCAGCAGCCGCGGUAAUACGUAGGUGGCAAGCGUUGUCCGGAUUUAUUGGGCGUAAAGCGAGCGCAGGCGGUUUUUUAAGUCUGAUGUGAAAGCCUUCGGCUCAACCGAAGAAGUGCAUCGGAAACUGGGAAACUUGAGUGCAGAAGAGGACAGUGGAACUCCAUGUGUAGCGGUGAAAUGCGUAGAUAUAUGGAAGAACACCAGUGGCGAAGGCGGCUGUCUGGUCUGUAACUGACGCUGAGGCUCGAAAGUAUGGGUAGCAAACAGGAUUAGAUACCCUGGGUAGUCCAUACCGUAAACGAUGAAUGCUAAGUGUUGGAGGGUUUCCGCCCUUCAGUGCUGCAGCUAACGCAUUAAGCAUUCCGCCUGGGGAGUACGGCCGCAAGGCUGAAACUCAAAGGAAUUGACGGGGGCCCGCACAAGCGGUGGAGCAUGUGGUUUAAUUCGAAGCUACGCGAAGAACCUUACCAGGUCUUGACAUACUAUGCAAAUCUAAGAGAUUAGACGUUCCCUUCGGGGACAUGGAUACAGGUGGUGCAUGGUUGUCGUCAGCUCGUGUCGUGAGAUGUUGGGUUAAGUCCCGCAACGAGCGCAACCCUUAUUAUCAGUUGCCAGCAUUAAGUUGGGCACUCUGGUGAGACUGCCGGUGACAAACCGGAGGAAGGUGGGGAUGACGUCAAAUCAUCAUGCCCCUUAUGACCUGGGCUACACACGUGCUACAAUGGAUGGUACAACGAGUUGCGAACUCGCGAGAGUAAGCUAAUCUCUUAAAGCCAUUCUCAGUUCGGAUUGUAGGCUGCAACUCGCCUACAUGAAGUCGGAAUCGCUAGUAAUCGCGGAUCAGCAUGCCGCGGUGAAUACGUUCCCGGGCCUUGUACACACCGCCCGUCACACCAUGAGAGUUUGUAACACCCAAAGUCGGUGGGGUAACCUUUUAGGAACCAGCCGCCUAAGGUGGGACAGAUGAUUAGGGUGAAGUCGUAACAAGGUAACC